rnacentral:tRNA from 1 species
AUAAUUGUGGCAGAAAAAGUGCACUGACUUUAAGCGUCAUAAAUGGAAUAUUCCCAAUUAAU